rnacentral:ncRNA from 1 species
GGUGGCCACCUGACGGGCCCCAGGAGCUUCCGGGGCCUCAUCACUCACACGGGUGAGAUUUGCCAACUCGGCUCGCUUUCAGGCAGGUUGCCCGGCAUAUGCUCACGCCAGACCACAUCCCACACAUACGUCGGCCCCCGACCGGGACUGCAAUCCCAACCGAGGGCCUGGCCACCUAGGAAGAUUCACCCUUCCCG